GACGUAGGGCGCGAGCGUUGUCCGGAUUUAUUGGGCGUAAAGAGCUCGUAGGCGGCUUGUCGCGUCGACUGUGAAAUCCCGCGGCUCAACUGCGGGUCUGCAGUCGAUACGGGCAGGCUAGAGUUCGGUAGGGGAGACUGGAAUUCCUGGUGUAGUGGUGAAAUGCGCAGAUAUCAGGAGGAACACCGGUGGCGAAGGCGGUUCUCUGGGCCUUACCUGACGCUGAGGAGCGAAAGCAUGGGGAGCAAACAGG
rnacentral:rRNA from 1 species